CGUGAAUUUGAUUUAUGAAAAAUAUGUAUAAAUUGAUUGAAAUAACUAAAGUUAGCAUUAUUUUGUUUUUAAUUUAAAAGUGUAUGUUGAUUCAAAAAGUGUCUUAUUAGUAUUUAAUUCAAAUGUAAUUUUUUUCUUGUCUUAGCAUGAAUUAGUGAAUAAAGUGCUAAUGUAACACAAUAAAGUUUUUAAAGUAUAUGUGUUGAUAUGGAGAUUUUAAAGUUUAUUUUUAGUGAUAAUGAUACAUUUUCUGUGGCUGUGUUUUGUUUUGUUUUGUUUUCUCUUUACAUUGCAGUAUUUGAUUUGAUUUUUUUUCUUUUAUUUUCAUGUCUUUGUAUAUAAGUGUAUUUUAGUUGGUUUUAUAUCAUUCAAAAUGAUGUUUCCAUUGAACAAAUGGUUUUGAAGUGUAUGUUUAUUGUUGUUGUUUUUUUUCCGAGAGGGGGUAGUGAUUUGCUUGUAUGAAUCGUUAGGUAGAGAAAGAAUGCAUUUAGAAUUCAUAUUGUAAUCAUCUUUUGAUUAACAUGAUUCAUGUUUGUAUGACUGUUUUCAUGAAUAUAAUGUUUAUGAAUACUGUAAUGUUGUUUUCGUGGUAUUUGAAUGAUUUUAGAUUCAUUUGAAUGAGACAGUCAAUGAUAACGUUUAUAGAUGCCAAUAUUGUAUUGUAUUUUAAUUUAGUUUUUAUUACAUAUCAUUGAGAAAGGUUUGUUUUUGUAUUUUCUCACAGUGUUUAACAUUAAUAAUAAACAUUGUUUUACUGUGUAGAAUAUAAUUCCUUUUUUAUGAAGUUUUGAAAUAAAAAUUUUAAACAUUUUUUAUCAGAUUAAUAGUUUUAAAAAGAUAUGUUAAUAUUGAUAGAGUAUAUGAUAAUGUAAAGAAACAAAUUGAGAUGAUUAUGACUUUGAUUAUAUGUAAAAUAAAGUUGUUUUGAAUUUGAAUUAGUAUUUAAUGAUGGAAAUGGUGGUUGUGUUGGUACAAAUGAUGUGAUGAUGCUCAUGACUUAUGAUAAAAUCAUGGUAAGGGUGAUAGUGAUGACAGAAAUGAUUAUGAUGAUGAUGAUGAUCAUGAUCAUGAUGUGGCUAAAAUGUGGAAAAAGAGCAGCAUUUUUCACAUUUCUCAUCAGUCUUUUUGCUUCUUUUUUCUUGUCUUUUCUGUUUUCUUUUCACCUUUAUUCGAGUAGGUUGUACUUAAAAAUUUUAUAUAGAUGCGAUUUUGCAACUUCUGAUGGUUAUAAUGAUCAUGGUGAUGAUGAUAAUUUUAGACUAACAUACCCAACAUCUGUUUUGCCUAGAUAGCCAUACACUGUGUGUGCCUGCAGGCGUGGAUCCAUGAUUGAUUUUAUGUGGGGGGGGGGGCUCAAACGGAAAAUUUUCUGACUUAAGCACAAGAAAAAAAUAAAACAAAUUAAAACAAAUAAAAUGAAAAAGGUUUUGACUCCUUUUUUGAAAUUUGAGAAGCCCCCCCCCCCCUCAAAAAGAAAGAAAUGAGUAAUAAAAUAAAUAAGGUUAUCACUCCUGUUUGAAAUCUGACAAACAAAAAAAGGGUAUCAUUCCUUCUUGAAAUUUGACAAGCAAAAAAAAAAAAGAAGAAAAAAAAGGUUAUUCCUUUUUGAAAUCUGACAAGCAGCAUAAUAAAAAGGAAAAAAUUAUCAAUUUUUUUGCAGGGGAGAGGGGUCAACUGGGCCUUGAACCUUCCCCCCCCCCCCUGUAUGCACGGCUGUGUGCCCAUAUACCUGUGGAGAAAUUUCUUAUUGGAAAUCUUUUCGAAAUGUGAAAAGCAAAGAACAGUCUUCCCCCCCCCCCUCCCAUACCUUCCUUUGUUUCCAUAGUGCAUAUAGCAUUUUUGAUUAUUUUAUGUAGAAUAAAACAGCAAUGUGGUUAAAAUGCCUUGCUCAAUGGCAUAACUAAAUACCGUGCUGGAGAUGAGAAUUUUGAUCCUCACAUUUCUGUAGGCCAGUUGGCCAUGGCACCUUUACUAACAGUUGCAAUUGUAAUUAAGUGGCUUAGCAUUACCUUGAGAUGUUAUAAUGUCAGUGUCAAGCUGGGCAAUUUGGUAUGAAUUUGUGUGAUUUGUAAUGUAAAGGGAGGAUGUUCACAAAGAUGAUGGAAAUAUGGUGGUGGUGGUGAUGGUGAUGGAGUUAAUGAUCAUAAUUGAAAGAAACACUUGAUGUCUUUGUGGAUGAUCUUCUUGAAUGCAACAAUGAAAUAAUUAAAAUUUAUUUCAUUAUGAUAUGUUCAACAUAGAAAAUAUUCUUCAAAAAAAUAUCGGAUUUUAUGCGUUAAUGUGAUGAAAGUGACUAAUCGGAAGGGGGGGGGGGCAAUUCACAGGUGAAAGUAUGUUUUAUUGGAAUAUUACAAUGGAGAAAAGUGAUAUUGUAAAUUGCUAUUUGAAAUGAAAUGAAAUUCGAAAAGUGUGAAAAAAUAGAUAGGCUUAUAUGUUUUGCCUUAUGAUACUUGCAAAUAUAACACUGGCCAAUUUUACCUUCAGAAUCAUCUUGGUACAAAAUAAACAGCUAUAAUUAGCAUAAGAUUUUUUUGUCACAGAUAAUUGAGUUGAGGUCAUAUAAACUAAUUUUUGAUAAAAGUUGAAGUUGAGGUAUUUCAGAUAAAAAGUUUAAGUAUUAAAAAUGAAACCAAAAUCUUUUUUUUCCCCUUGAGUCUCUAAAUGGCUAUUUUUUUUGUCAGCAAAGUUUUCUUGAAUAAUUCUGUUCUUAUAUACUGACUACCUAAUAUUAACAUCUAUACAAAAAUUAAUGUUAAAGUUAUGAUAAUCCAGUCGUCACAUUAUUGGCAACAGACAGAUAAAAUUCGGGAAAAAUGGGCAGUAAUAAUAUUUUCCAAAUAAAAACAGAAGAAGAAAUAUUAUUGAUAUGGAAAUAUUUGGUGACAUCUAGUUAUAGUUCUUUGGUUGCUUUUUAUUUGGUCAUCGAUGAUGAUCGAUACUUUGGUGAUCGAUACUUUGAUACGACGACUGUGACCGUUCCGGCCGUGCGUGUUUGCAUGAUAUGUGCAACUUGUUACUCCUAACGUAACGUUAGUGAAAGUUGGAAGUGUAUCAAAGUUUUUCCGAAAUUCAGAAAUAUUGGUUGUUAUCACCUUAGGUUGUGUUGAUAUUGUGAGUUUUGAUAAUUCAAAAAUUUGACAGGUAGUACCUUUGAAGUGAAAGGCAGUGAUAUUGGCCAAGUGCAUUGAGCCGUUACUAACUGAUUUCCAGAAAUUUGCAGUUCCAGAUCGUAAGCAGAUAUGAGCCUCUCUUGGCAGCAGAUGAUGAUGAUGGUGAUGAGGAUGAUAAUGAUGAUCAGAACAUUGAAACCUUCAAACAGAGAAGAC